GCGAGAGUGGUGAAAUUGGUAGACACGCCAGAUUUAGGAUCUGGUGCCCGAAAAGGCUUGGGGGUUCGAGUCCCCCCUCUCGUACCA
rnacentral:tRNA from 1 species